AGCAGCCGCGGUAAUUCCAGCUCCAAUAGCGUAUAUUAAAGUUGUUGCAGUUAAAAAGCUCGUAGUUGAAUUUCGGGAUCAUCAGGUUGGUCGUGCCUCUGGUAUGUACUGAUUUCGAUGGUUCCUCCUUCUUGAAGAACCGUAAUGCCAUUAAUUUGGUGUUGCGGGGAAACAGGACUGUUACUUUGAAAAAUUAGAGUGUUUAAAGCAGGCAAUCGCUUGAAUACAUUAGCAUGGAAUAAUGAAAUAGGACGUUCGAUCCUAUUUUGUUGGUUUCUAGGAUUGACGUAAUGAUUAAUAGGGAUAGUUGGGGGCAUUAGUAUUCAAUUGUCAGAGGUGAAAUUCUUGGAUUUAUUGAAGACUAACUACUGCGAAAGCAUUUGCCAAGGAUGUUUUCAUUAAUCAAGAACGAAAGUUAGGGGAUCGAAGACGAUCAGAUACCGUCGUAGUCUUAACCAUAAACUAUGCCGACUAGGGAUCGGAUGAUGUUAAUUUUUUAAUGUACUCUAUUCGGCGCCUU
rnacentral:rRNA from 1 species